rnacentral:rRNA from 1 species
CUUGGUGGUUUAGCGACAGGAAAACACCCGUUCCCAUUCCGAACACGGCCGUAAAGACUGCUCGCGGCGACAAUACUUGGACUGUAAGGUCCUGGGAAGAUAGCUCUCUGCCAAGG